rnacentral:rRNA from 1 species
GAUGAACGCUGGCGGCGUGCCUAAUACAUGCAAGUCGAGCGAACGGACGAGAAGCUUGCUUCUCUGAUGUUAGCGGCGGACGGGUGAGUAACACGUGGAUAACCUACCUAUAAGACUGGGAUAACUUCGGGAAACCGGAGCUAAUACCGGAUAAUAUUUUGAACCGCAUGGUUCAAUAGUGAAAGACGGUCUUGCUGUCACUUAUAGAUGGAUCCGCGCUGCAUUAGCUAGUUGGUAAGGUAACGGCUUACCAAGGCAACGAUGCAUAGCCGACCUGAGAGGGUGAUCGGCCACACUGGAACUGAGACACGGUCCAGACCCCUACGGGAGGCAGCAGUAGGGAAUCUUCCGCAAUGGGCGAAAGCCUGACGGAGCAACGCCGCGUGAGUGAUGAAGGUCUUCGGAUCGUAAAACUCUGUUAUUAGGGAAGAACAUAUGUGUAAGUAACUGUGCACAUCUUGACGGUACCUAAUCAGAAAGCCACGGCUAACUACGUG